GGGAAUGUGGCUUAGUGGUAGAGCGCUUGCCUUGCAUGCAUGAGGCCCUGGGUUUGAUUCUCAGCACCA
rnacentral:tRNA from 1 species